GUAGAUCGUGCCUUUAAUAAUCGUGCAGAAAAGCAUUACACUGGGACCUCUAAGCUUUGAUUUUUGCUAGGGGGUUAUUAUUUUCUCCUUUUACUGAGCUAGCUGUGCAUUGCCCACUUAUUAAUGUCUGAGGGCUUUGAGGGAUCCCCACAAGAAAAAUAAAAAGGUUUUGAGCCUUUCUUUCUUGGGCCUCUUUAUACAUUUGACCAAAAUUGGGGAACUAAGAGACCACUUAUAUUGAUUGAUCUAAUAUCUAGGACUUUCACAUUUAUCUUACUCAAAAUGCUUCGUCUCGCACAAAGGGUUCUACGUGUGGUCUGUUUGUCGGCAAAUUCAUAUGGUAUGUUGAACUACGUGCAUGAAUCACUCAAAUUUCUAUACAUCAUGAAUGCCAACACUUCAGCAGCAAAUAAAACCGACAUUCUAGGGUAUUCGUCGCGAUGCUCUUACCUUAUAGAGAAGGAACAGAUGAUGUAGGGGCCAAUUUGAAUGGAGCAUAAGAAAUCCUACCAUGAAAGCCAAACAAAAUUUACAAUGGCCACAAAUCUACUAUCAAACAGGCAACAUGUACAGUGCAUUUUGCAGUGCAUUUGGCUGAUAUUGCAGGCAAACUCUAUCAUAACAUAUUUUGAUCACAGCUUCAGGAUGUCCAAUCAUUGUCUGGCUAUAAGUGGGACAUAUUGGAUUUGAAUAAAUGGAAGCUCGCAUUUUUAAUAUAUGAUAAACAAAAUACGUAGAAAAAGAAAACAUAAAUAAAAUAAAUGAAUAAUAAAUAAAAGCUGACAAGUGAAGGCAGGAUAGUGAUUCAAAAGGUUACCAGGCAGUAGGAAGAGGCUGAUUCCAAUUCCAAGCAGUGUAGGUAGCUUUCGGCAGCAGCGCAGCGAUGAUGGCGAUCUCUGUCCGAUGAAUUUGACCACAUUUAAUGAAUCCGAUGAAGUUCUAUUACAUAUAAGAUAUAUCAACAUCAGAUCCCGACAAAUGACACUAAUUGACUAGAUCAGAUUCAUCGAAUACAUAGCAAUCAACUGCAACGAUAAUAAAAACCUACUCUGUUAAUGAUACCAUCCUCGUAAAAUAGUUUUAGUUCCGAAUCUCGCUAAAACUUUCUAUCACAACAAAAGACUUUGCGAAUUUUUAUUUGCUAAAUACCCAGAAAUAGAUUUUCACAAUUCUGUAUGUAACUUGGAAUAUCUGGCUAAUAGGCAAAAAGCUGGGAGAGCAGUGGUUGCAUAUUAUAAUUGCAUGCUCUACUACAACUGCUUAGAGAAACAUAAAAGCCCUACUGAAGAUACCUGCACAUUUGUGCUCCAUUAGCAUUAACAAUUACUAUAACUGUUACUAUAUUAUGAGCACAGUUCUCUAGGCCUUGGGGUGUGAGCUCUGUUCAAAUUUAAGUUUCAUGUUGUUGAAUGUAGGGUGGUCAAAAAACCCCUCUGCUCCCCAAAAUUUUUUAUGACAAUAAUGGCCAAUCAUUAGCAAUACUAACAGGCUUUUCUCUAACUUUAUGUUGUAGAUUACUAGGAUUUACUUUUUUCAGCUGUUUUUUUUUACCAAUUCACCAGAGGCUACACAUCCUAUGUUUCUAGCCUUUUCAACUCCAUGGAAUUCAAAUUUAUUAUAUGAAAUUCAUACAAUUAAACGGUAACACAUCCAUACGACAAAGUAAUAAGUAUAUGUGGUAGGAUUUAGAAAAGAAAAAAAAAAAACAACAGAUAAGAUCAUGGAUAUAGAAUAAACAGACAUACAGGCAAAAGAGUAAAAGGAUGUAAAAUGAAGCAAAUUCUCUUAUAUCCAAAGGUUGUAGACAUGCCAAUCAACCUGCACAACAAAUUAUUUUCCACACCAUUCCUUUUAAACACACCCUAUAGAAAACAUGCUCAUUCCUAACUUAGUAGUUUUAGCCACGCAUAUUGUUCUAGUGAGAGCUAAGAUUGAACAACUAUACUAUUGACAGUCAAAAAUAGCUUGGGUACUUUGAAACAACAAAUUUAAUGAAAUGCACAGGAGAAGUUAAAAGAGAACAAAACAAUGGCUUAGUUGAAUAGGGUGGGGACCCCAUUAGAGGGCUUCCCCCACACAAUCCACUGCAUUUCCUUUUUCUUGGAUGCCCUCCCUAUUUCCAAAAUCCCUGACAAGUCCUCCAUAAUUCUUUCUUAUUUGGCCCUAUUCCAGCUUUUAAUGAUGCUUCUUCCCCUCUCCUCUCCUUUCCCCCUCAACACCACCAUCCCCCCACUCUUGACACCCACACCCCAACAAGAGAGAGAGAGAGAGAGAGAGAGACAGAGUACACAGGAAUGGAGAAAACUCCCCCCUCCAAUGACCACUUAUUAGUAGUAGUGGAAGAAGACUACAUAGAUAUGGAUCUUAGUAGCUCCACUAUCACCUCCUUGUGCCGGUCAAGAUCCUCCUCCCCUCCACAUUCCAAAGAAUUUGAAUUCCAAAUGUCCACCAAUACUCAGGAGAAAGAAACAACCACCUCCCCUGCCGAUGAGCUCUUCUACAAAGGUAACCUCCUCCCUCUCCACCUGCCCCCUAGGCUACAAAUGGUUCAACAGCUCCUCAACAACACCCAAACCACCAAUUCAGCUGCGGAGGAGAACAUAGACACCACCACCACCACCACCAUCACCACCACUAGUGUAAAUGUUGAGACUAAUCCAGAAGACUACUUAGAGUGCUCAGCGCGACUCAUCCAAUCGAACCCGAAAAGAUCAUGGUCCAAGAAGCUCAAGUUGAUAAGGCAAACUCACCUUGGUACAAAGAUUAAAGCUUCAAGAGAUUAUAUCAAGUCUCUCUUCACCAAACCAAGUAGCUCGAAUGAUGACAAUGUCUAUACAAAAGAAGGGAGAAAGAAGGACUCACUAAGCCAAAUCCUGCAGGAGAGAUACUUAGUAACAGAGACCAGCGCUACAACGCUAAAAAGUAGAAUUGAUAGAGAGAAACUGACGGAAGAGGAUAUGGGUCAUAGAAAAUCCUUCUCUGGAAUCAUCAAGUGGAGAUUAACAACCAAAUCUUCAUCGUCGAGUUCGGCUUCCUCAUCAUGCUCUUCUUCUUUCUCGUCGUCAUCAAGUUCACUGGGGGGCAAUUUGAGUGGGUUGAACCAGAUAAGGAUGCUGAAGAGGAGCAACAGUGUGAAUUCGGAGGGGGAGAGCUCAAUACAAGGGGCCAUUGCUUAUUGCAAGAAGACACAGGAGAUGGUUUCAGCUAGAAAGAGUGUGAGUGAUGUUGGCUUCUAUUCCUUUUCUGUUCCUAAUAUUACUACAGCUUGUGAGAGCCAAGAGAGAAGAGAGCUCUACAGAGGAUGAUUGGAAUAAUGUGAAGAAUUCUAUGUUUUGUGUUUAUUUUUUGAGGAAAAAUGUAUUGUUUCCUGAUUUCUAAAGGAUUUGAGUGUUCCUGUUCUUUAGGUGGCAAUUUUGAUUUGAAGGAAAGAAAUUUCAUGACAUUGAAAUUCGGGUGGUUCCAUAUAGCAUCUUAGUUUUCAGAUACAAAAAUGCCAUAUCGGUUGAUCAAAUCUAAAUUGAAGUAACAAUAUUAGUCAACUAAUUGUGGAAAGUCCUUAAUUCUAUAUUUCUUCUCAAUUUUCUCAUCAUUUGUUUAGCCCUGCAUCUAUAUUUGUAUCCUGCAGCAAUAGUCAUGGCAGAGCAUUUGACAAACAGGAAAGUCUAAAGCUGCUUCUAUAAAGAAACAUAAAUAAAACUUUGAGCACCAGAAGUAAAAGAUCCAAAUUGAUACUUCUGAAAGUUUGUUAGAGGGUACGUUAAUAUAGUUUUUUUUUUUUUUUUUUUUUUUUUUUUCUAAUAGCACUGUUAGCAGCCUAGAGCAAAGCCAAAUCGACCAUCUAAACAAAAUGACAAUAAUUCUUCGAAAGUGAAAUGCAAUUCUCAUGCAUGAUAACUAAUUUAUCCCGAUCCUAGAUAUAAAAUUUUUGGCGAGACACAGUACCUUUUAGGUUGGAGAUUAGUUAUCGGUCGUGUUUCCAACCAAUCUUGUCUCCUUUUGAUUAGGAAAAGAGCUAAAUUUUUCCACCCAAGAUGAGCUAGCAGAAAAGGAAAUGAGGGAGGUGGAUAGUUGAACUACACAUUGGAGACAAAGGGACUUAACAAAAAUGUCUACUUCAAAAAAGGACAUGGCGAUGACCUGAUGGGACUCUUCAUAGGUGUUUUCUAUCAGGUCCUUGUGGGGAUCUAUUUUCACUAUUUGUUCCUAAAUAAUAAAGGUGUUUCCAACAGGAGAAAGGAAUAUACAUGCAGUUGAUUUAAACAAGCGAGACCAACAUUAGUAACUUAGAUUAAUUAUUUAAGAGGGCAUGACUUCUUGAGAAGGAUGUUCAACAGAAAUAUAAAGCUAAAUAGGUGAAUUAGUGGAAUAGAUAAAGCUCAUUUCAAGAUAAGCCCAAAUUAGAUCUGUUUAAGAUUGUACGCUCACAUACUACACGGACAUAUCAAUUUAUCAGCAAGAAGAACAACACAUAAGUAAUGUUAAAAGAGGUGAAAAAUAUAUAGAUACAAAAUUACAUGGUCGAUAACCAUAGCUGACACUGGGAUUCAGUGGGUAAAAUGAAACUAAUAUGACCAAUCCUAGUUUCUUUGGGAUGGGAGGAAGAUUCAUAUAGCCAAACCCAUCUAGUAUCCAUCUAUAUACUAGAAUUAGUUCAAAAGUAAAUUUUGCGAGAGACAAGACGGUGGUGGUUUGAGAAGCCUAAU
rnacentral:lncRNA from 1 species